CAGUUAACCUCCCUGGGCUUCAGUAUCCUCAUCUGGCCCCAUUUGUGUUUUCGUGCUGGCCACUGCUGCUUCAUACACAGGUGCAGGUGCUCUGGAGUGGAUCUCCUGGCCUGGCUGACCAGCCCAGAGGGUUUGCCAAGAAGGAGAGCUUAAGAGAACAGCCCACUCCACCAUGAUGCUGAUGUCACUCUUCCCACAGAUAGCAUGACAAGAGACUGGCAUAAUGAGGGAUGCUAUGGAGCACUGUGUCUGACAGUUCAUCUCAAAUUGCAGCCUGCACAGGAGUUAUCAAAGCCACGGCAACUCCAGAAAAUUGAUAGACACAAAGUUAAACAGCUCUCCACCAUGGAAGACAGAAAAGCUUGAGAAACACUUCUGCUGUCCUUGAGCCCUAACUCUGGUAAGUAUAGGAGUAACAUGAAACAAGCUUGAGUCUUCAUACUCAUUAGCGUUCUUCUCAGCGCAGUCCCACGAUCAUAAAGUGCUCUGCUCAGCAAUUCCGGAAAAUGUGGAGCUUCGCCCAUUUCCCGUUUCAAAUACAAUUUGUGUUUAUGAAUGUAUUUAUUUUGGAUUUCUAUCCAAUUUUCUCCAAAUCAAACCCAUUUGAAGCAGCUUACAAAGCACACAUGGUGCAACAUGGGACUAUUAGGGACAGAAAUCAAAUGGAAAGUGAGUUAGGCC
rnacentral:lncRNA from 1 species